UACGUAGGCAGCGAGCGUUGUUCGGAGUUACUGGGCGUAAAGGGUGUGUAGGCGGUUCUUUAAGUUCGGUGUGAAAUCUCCCGGCUCAACCGGGAGGGUGCGCCGAAUACUGAGGGACUAGAGUACGGGAGAGGAAAGUGGAAUUCCUGGUGUAGCGGUGAAAUGCGUAGAUAUCAGGAGGAACACCGGUGGUGUAGACGGCUUUCUGGACCGUAACUGACGCUGAGACACGAAAGCGUGGGUAGCAAACAGG
rnacentral:rRNA from 1 species